AUUGAACGCUGGCGGCAGGCCUAACACAUGCAAGUCGAGCGGAGCGGCGGACGGGUGAGUAAUGCCUAGGAAUCUGCCUGGUAGUGGGGGAUAACGUCCGGAAACGGGCGCUAAUACCGCAUACUAUCAGAUGAGCCUAGGUCGGAUUAGCUAGUUGGUGUGGUAAAGGCCUACCAAGUCGACGAUCCGUAACUGGUCUGAGAGGAUGAGCAGUCACACGGGAACUGUGAAACGGGCCAGACGCCUUCGGGAGGCAGCAGGGGGGAAUGUUGGACAAUUGGCAGAAGCCUGAUGCCGGCAUGCCGGGUGAGUGAAGAAGGUCUUCGGAUUGUAAAGCACAUUAAGUUGGGAGGCGUUACCAACAGAAUAGGCACCGGCUAACUUCGUGCCAGCAGCCGCGGUAAUUC
rnacentral:rRNA from 1 species